rnacentral:rRNA from 1 species
GAUGAACGCUAGCGGCAGGCCUAAUACAUGCAAGUCGAACGAGAUUUAUGACUUCGGUUAUAAUGACAGUGGCGCACGGGUGCGUAACGCGUAUGCAACCUACCCUUUACUGGGGGAUAGCCCGGAGAAAUCCGGAUUAAUACCCCAUAGUAUCACAGAUUGGCAUCAUGAAGUGAUUAAAGAUUUAUUGGUAAAGGAUGGGCAUGCGUGACAUUAGAUAGUUGGUGAGGUAACGGCUCACCAAGUCCACGAUGUCUAGGGGUUCUGAGAGGAUGAUCCCCCACACUGGUACUGAGAUACGGACCAG